CCUACGGGAGGCAGCAGUGGGGAAUCUUCCACAAUGGACGAAAGCCUGAUGGAGCAACGCCGCGUGAGUGAAGAAGGCUUUCGGCUCGUAAAGCUCUGUUGGUAGUGAAGAAAGAUAGAGGUAGUAACUGGCCUUUAUUUGACGGUAAUUACUUAGAAAGUCACGUCUAACUACGUGCCAGCCGCCGCGGUAAUACGUAGGUAGCAAGCGUUGUUCGUAUUUAAUGGGCGUAAAGCGGAUGCAGGCGGUUCAAUAAGUCUGAUGUGAAAUCCUUCGGCUCAACCUGUGAAGUGCAUCUGAAACUGGUGAACUGGAGUGCAGAAGAGGAGAGUGGAAUGCCAGGUGUAGCGGUGGAAUGCGUAGAUAUAUGGAAGAACACCAGUGGCGAAGGCGGCUCUCUGGUCUGCAACUGACGCUGAGGCUCGAAAGCAUGGGUAGCGAACAGGAUUAGAUACCCUAGUAGUC
rnacentral:rRNA from 1 species